CCUACGGGAUGCAGCAGUAGGGAAUAUUGCUCAAUGGGGGAAACCCUGAAGCAGCAACGCCGCGUGGAGGAUGAAGGUUUUCGGAUUGUAAACUCCUUUUGUUAGAGAAGAUAAUGACGGUAUCUAACGAAUAAGCACCGGCUAACUCCGUGCCAGCAGCCGCGGUAAUACGGAGGGUGCAAGCGUUACUCGGAAUCACUGGGCGGAAAGAGCGCGUAGGCGGGAUAGCAAGUCAGAUGUGAAAUCCUAUGGCUUAACCAUAGAACUGCAGUUGAAACUGUUAUUCUAGAGUAUGGGAGAGGUAGGUGGAAUUCUUGGUGUAGGGGUAAAAUCCGUAGAGAUCAAGAGGAAUACUCAUUGCGAAGGCGACCUGCUAGAACAUAACUGACGCUGAUGCGCGAAAGCGUGGGGAGCAAACAGGAUUAGAUACCCUUGUAGUC
rnacentral:rRNA from 1 species